rnacentral:rRNA from 1 species
CAGUCGCCACGGUAAUACGAAGGGGGCUAGCGUUGUUCGGAAUUACUGGGCGUAAAGCGCACGUAGGCGGAUAUUUAAGUCAGGGGUGAAAUCCCAGAGCUCAACUCUGGAACUGCCUUUGAUACUGGGUAUCUUGAGUAUGGAAGAGGUGAGUGGAAUUCUGAGUGUAGAGGUGAAAUUCGUAGAUAUUCGGAGGAACACCAGUGGCGAAGGCGGCUCACUGGUCCAUUACUGACGCUGAGGUGCGAAAGCGUGGGGAGCAAACAGGAUUAGAUACCCCGGUAGUCCCUGUCUCUUAUAC